rnacentral:rRNA from 1 species
GACGAACGCUGGCGGCGUGCCUAAUACAUGCAAGUUGAGCGAUGAAGAUUGGUGCUUGCACCAAUUUGAAGAGCAGCGAACGGGUGAGUAACGCGUGGGGAAUCUGCCUUUGAGCGGGGGACAACAUUUGGAAACGAAUGCUAAUACCGCAUAACAACUUUAAACAUAAGUUAUAAGUUUGAAAGAUGCAAUUGCAUCACUCAAAGAUGAUCCCGCGUUGUAUUAGCUAGUUGGUGAGGUAAAGGCUCACCAAGGCGAUGAUACAUAGCCGACCUGAGAGGGUGAUCGGCCACAUUGGGACUGAGACACGGCCCAAACUCCUACGGGAGGCAGCAGUAGGGAAUCUUCGGCAAUGGACGAAAGUCUGACCGAGCAACGCCGCGUGAGUGAAGAAGGUUUUCGGAUCGUAAAACUCUGUUGGUAGAGAAGAACGUUGGUGAGAGUGGAAAGCUCAUCAAGUGACGGUAACUACCCAGAAAGGGACGGCUAACUACGUG